rnacentral:rRNA from 1 species
GUCUAUGGCCAUACCACCCUGAACGCGCCUUGAUCUUGUUUGAUCUUGGAAGCUAAGCAGGGUCAGGCCUGGUUAGUACUAGAAUAGGAAACGCUUGAAGGAAAAAAAUGAAGAGAAAAAUAUGUAUGCUAUAAGGC